GGCCUGGGAAGGAACCUCCGGCCCUUCCUCACCGUGCAGCCAAGCCCUGCUUUCUCUACCUCCAGUCGUUUUCUGAGGACCAGCUUGGUGGGUGCUGAUGCCUGCCUGGAAGACCUCACACCCACAGUGUCUUGGAAGAUCCUGAAAGCAGUGUGAGACCAGAAUGACCAGCAAAGGAGAAAAGAACAAGGACGCAUUGCAGCCAAAAUGGAGCUAGAAUCUUGCCUCUGUCCAUCCUUCACUGGAGUCAUCCUGGAUGGAGAAGGAACCAUAUCACCUGCAAAGCCUGGAAGGGGAGCCCUGCUGUGAGCGAUCCAGUGUUCAAGCUGGUCAUCAGGAGAAAGCUACUUAUGAUUUCCUAACAAGCAGCCACCACAGAACGUCACAUUCCCAAAUAUGCUCUUCACCGUCCCUGCUGUCCCCACGUGGCUGGCCCUGGUGUGGGCAGGAAUGAGUGGGAUUGGGAUGUUUUCUCACAGGUCUUUCUCAGGUGAGGCCCCAGGCUGUGACCAGGCCCCUGCCCUGCAUGUGACUCAGGCCUAGCCCCUGCUGGGGCAGGAAUGCCACCCAGCACAGCAUCCUACUGGUGCCUGAAUAAAGAACGGACUGGAGGUUCACCUGAAAGGGGCUGCCAGCCUUCUGCGGGAGUCAGCCAACAGCUCACAAUGACCCUGUGUUCAACUCAUCUUAUCAUGAAAUUUUUCAGCUUGACAAACUUUUAGUCAUCUUUCAAGGCUCGGCUCAAAUGUUGUUUUCUCUGGGAAAACCGUGCUACUUUCAGCAAAAUGCAUUUCCUUUUGAUGGGCAUCUGUUUUUUUCAUUUAUUUAUUUAUUUAUUUAUUUAUUUUUGAGGCAGGGUCUCACUCUCUUGUCCAUGCUGGAGCGCAGUGGUGCAAUCUUGGCUCACUGAACCUUCACAAUGGGCAUCUGUUUCUGUUCUACGGAGUGACCUAAAAGUCAAGAAUCAUGGAGAAAUUGGCCGGGAGCAAUGGCUCAUGCCUGUAAAUCGCAGCACUUUGGGAGGCUGAGGCAGGCGGAUCACUUGAGGCCAGGAAUUUGAGACCAGCCUGGCCAACAUGGUGAAACCCCAUAUCUACUAAAAAUACAAAAAAAAAAAAAAUUGUUAGCUGAGCAUUGUGGCGUGCGCCUGUUAUCCUAGCUACUCGGGAGGUUGAGGCACAAGAAUUGCUUGAAGCUAGGAGGGGGAGGUUGCAGUGAGCCGAGAUCAAGCCACUGUGCUCCAGCCUUGGCGACAAAGUGAAACUGUGUCUCAAAAAUUAAAAAAAAAAAAAAAAAAUCAUGGGGAGAAUUUAUUGUUAAACAGAAUAUUCGUUACAUUUUCAAAUAAUAUAGUCAGUAUGUUUUUCUGCAACCUUUAGAUAUGUUUUCAGGUGAAGUACCUCUAAAUGUAAAGAAAUGGGUCCAAUUGUUAAUUUUUUUUAAAGGUUCGAGAAAUACACUACUUUCUCUGGCUUUUUUCUUAAACUUUUUUUUUUUUUUUUUGAGAUGAAGUCUUGCU